rnacentral:rRNA from 1 species
GAUGAACGCUAGCGGCAGGCUUAAUACAUGCAAGUCGUGGGGCAGCAGGUCUGUAGCAAUACAGAUGCUGGCGACCGGCAAACGGGUGCGUAACACGUACGCAACCUUCCCGUUACUAGGGAAUAGCCCAGGGAAACUUGGAUUAAUACCCCAUAUUAUAUUGGUUAGGCAUCUGACUGAUAUCAAAGCUUCGGCGGUAACGGAUGGGCGUGCGGUUGAUUAGGUAGUUGGCGGGGUAACGGCCCACCAAGCCUACGAUCAAUAGCUGAUGUGAGAGCAUGAUCAGCCACACGGGCACUGAGACACGGGCCCGACUCCUACGGGAGGCAGCAGUAAGGAAUAUUGGGCAAUGGACGAAAGUCUGACCCAGCCAUGCCGCGUGAAGGAUGAAGGUCCUCUGGAUUGUAAACUUCUUUUAUCUGGGGCGAAAAUCGGUUAUUCUUAGCCGCUUGACAGUACCAGAUGAAUAAGCACCGGCUAACUCCGUGCCAGCCGCCGCCGUAAAAC